GGAGGAAGAAAGUAAAGAAAUGGAAAAGGGAAGCCUUCAACAAGAAAGGGGAGAAAAGUGAGUCCAAUUCCGUUUGCUGUAUUUCUUGCUAUUUCAGCGGGCGCUGUGAUGUGGUAGAGCUGGAACCAGUGGUCUCCUUAUAGAAAGAAAAGGACGCAUGUGAAAAAGAAGACAGUUCUUGUUAUCAGUACAGACUGGCCAGGCUGAAUUGGCAGAAAAAUCUGGCAGGUGAUGCAGAUGGACUCUGUGUUUUGCUGUUUGUGCUUCUUUCUCCAAGCAGAACAUAGAAACUCCCCAAUGGUGCCUUCCCCACCACUGCAGACCAGAAACAUCUUGCAAAGAAGUUCUCCAGAAAACUCACACAUGAAGUCCUAGAAUAUUAUUUUUAUAUCAACAUUGCUAUUGUUACAAAGUCAAAGAUAAAGGUGCAAAACAAAAAGCAAACCCCGUUGCAACCCACAAUAAACAUACCAUGCAUUUAUGGGUGUUUUAAGUGGAAAGGAAUGAAGUUCAGCGCCUGGGUAAUUUGCACUUUGCACAGAACAUCUGUUUUAUGAUUCUUUCUCUCACUUAUUAUAUGGAGCAGACUGUGUGUAAACACUGUGUGUCCUGGCCCCAGGCUACACCCUGCAUCUUCAUUCGUCCCAGUCUUCAGAUUUGACCGAGUUCCUUGGAAACCCAGCAGGGCCUGCUAGGAGAAGUGAGUUAAACCCUGGCUCCUCGCUGCAGCCCUGCUGCUGACCUCUCCACGUGCGAGGAGGAGAAGCCACGCUCACCCUCACCAUCCUCACUAGCUGCUGGGACCUGGGGAGCGGGGACGGCUGUGAAUAAUGCCAGCGAUGCCCGGGAGUGCAGAAAGGCAGCACGACUCCUCUGAAGCUCGACACAGGCUGCUGGUCAGCUGUGGCCAACUAAUUGUGCCCCGGCAGCUUUUGAAAUGAAGGGGGAAAGCAGCUGAAAGGGCCUCUUCAAAGCCGACCGAGUCCCCGGAGGCUGAAGGUGCAGCACGGUGUUUGUUUGUGAAAGUCGGGCGCGUCUGGCUGCCCGGCCGUGUUCAGCCGAAUGGCUGGCUGCGUAUAUUUAGCAGCAGCUCUGACUCCUCACUGAACUCGGCCCCUGUAAUUAACACAUUCGCUCCUGCUAUUUGCUUCAGGGAGCCAGGAGGACCCAGGGAAAAACACCAGUUGUGAGCGGGCUCGGAGCAGCCGGCCCUGCUGGCCCUGCAGAGCCUCGGAGCAGCCUGGCUGAGGGUACCUCGAGCUUUGGGGUGCCAGCCCCAAGCACUGCCCUGCCACAGGUGUUGUCCUCAUGGGAAGCCAGGCAGCUCUUGCUUGUUUCUUUGUCCCCAGGUUGGGGAUGCUGCUGCUGCACAGCACCGCUAGGCGAGGAGCUGGACGUGGGACACCUGCCCGGCCUCACCCGCACCUUCCCCACCUUCUGCAGGCUCUCUCUGCUUAGUUCCUCCCCUGAUUGUUCAGCCAGGGCCCAGAUAGGAAUCAAAUAUCCCGAUUCAGUCUAAUUCCAAACACUAGCUGUGUUUACCCCUAAUUUUAUAACUCUUCCCCCAAGCCAAGAGCCAAACCAAAGAAAAAAAAAACACCAGUGAAGAGCGCCGUGCUGCAACAAAGCAUUGGCAACAGGCAGGCCCAAGCAAAUACAGGGGUAAGUGAACGUAACGUGGCACUUUUACCUUUUGCUUCAGCACAAAAGCACCCAGCUGAGUAAACCCAGCUUCUCCACGUGGGAGGGAGCCGGUGCCAGCCCUGCAGCCCGGUGGCACCGGGCACACAGGAGACGCACCGGGUGCUGCAGGGGUGGGAAGAGUCAAGCCCGAGGAGCUGGACUGGAGUCAUUGCUCCCGGGGUAAAUACGCAGGCAGUUCUGCAGCUGACCUGGUAGCAGCGCCAGUGAAGCUAAAUCAGGUCUGCUUGCCUGGCCCGACAUGAAUGUGGUCAUAUUUCUAAGAAAUCCGAGUAGCUGGAUCCUCAGAAAUGCUCAAAACACCCAUAAUUUAAACAUGUUAGAGCUGGAGGAUGCUUGUCCAUGCGCUAGCGAGAAAAGGAGCAAGCCAAAAUGAGUUCAGCACCAAUUUUUAUAAACUAGACUGGAAAAUGUUUUAAGACAACUCAGGAACACGCUUUACUGCUGCUUUACAUAAAGAUAAAAUUUGCAAGAUGCUGAAUACAGCAAGGGUCCCGCAUUUUUGUCCUGUUUUGUGGGAUUUUGGAAGGGCAGGUUUGCUCCCUGGGCCGGGCAGGGCAGAGGCUCAUUUCCUGCUGCAUGAACCACAGCUGCAAAAGGGGCUUUGGAGAGCAAGAAGAUUGCAUCAGAGCCAAUUUCGGAAGAACAGAGACGAGGAAAAAGACAAAAAGGAAAGCAAGCAAGCAGAAUAAAUCUGAAUGUAACAAAAUUAUAGUCUGUAUUGAAAACUCAACAUUUGGAAUCGAUUUUUUCCAUCAGACAAAAGGCUGAGGGUUUCGCUGUUGAAAUAUCAGCCUCUUUUUAAACUUGUGCUAAAUGUCAUAGCUAGACAAGCUGCAGGUGAAACACCAAGAAGAAAGAACUGAUGCAAUCCGACAAUAUUUUACUGUCAAGUGUAACGUGAUGCUCUUGCUUUGCUUGCUUUGUUUUCUUGUUUCCUGCCGCGUAUUUGGUGCAGGUUUCCUAUGUUCCAUCAGGUGGCUCAGGUUCCCUUAAUUUUCUGGCUGCCUCCCAUUUCUAUUACCCCCUCCCUUCACUUUUAGGGAGCAAAAGCCUGUCUCCCUUGUGGCAUAACGUUAACACCAAAAGUUUCAGCUUAAUUAUGUGUGCAGGGGAAAAGAGUUUUAUUUGCAUGCCGUAAAUGUGUACGAAGCUGGAAACGAACAAAGCUGCAGCACCUUUGUGAAAACAGCUUGCCUGUGAUCAGAGCUCCUUCUGCUCCAUUUUAACAUGGGCUUUCAAUUGUUUCACUCUAGUUCUCCUUUCUCCAUUGUCUUUCUUCAGAGCACUAUUGCUUUCCUAUCUGGCAUUUUCCUCACUGUCCCCAAGCAACCUCUUUUACUUGCUCUCUCCUACAAUAACCCCAUUCCUCAUUAUUGUUUCCAUUCCCUUUUUUUGUUCUUUCGCUUGAUCGAGGCCUGGGGGCCCCAGCUCGGUGCUGGGGGCUCCACGUCCAGCCUCAGCACUCAGCUGACACCUCGGAGCUGGAGCACUGUCCCCAGCGUGUCGGCUUGUGCUGUGUGCCAUUGCAGGAGAGGCUCGCCAUGCUCUCCGACGAGCAUUGUAUAUCUGCUUUGCAGGAGCAGACGUAAUCUAUCAAAGUGCAGAGCAGCAAUGAAUCAGGUCUUUGAUGCAAAUAAGAAGCAGCCACAUGGCACGAAGCAUUUGGGAGCACUUCAGGCUAAAAAGGAAAAAAAAAAAAAGAAAAAAACAGAAAAAGAUGCAGCUGUGAAGAAUACAAAUAUUGGCUCCUCGAGGAACCCUCCAUAUUGUAUCCAUUAUUACAAUCUACUUAUUUGUUCAGGGCUAAUGCUCUCCAUUUUGAGAUUGUCAUGGAUCUGCUUUCCCAUCCUCAGGGAAGGUCUAUGUGGCAGUCAUCUGCAGGAGGUGGCUGCAGAAGGAGCCCUUCUCCCCUUGUCUGGCUGGCAGAGCUGAUUGCUGUGUGAGAGAACCUGCUAUUAAAAUGAAUAAGGACCCUUUUGUGCAUGAGAAAGAAGAAAAAAAAAUUGGCUUGUUCCCACCUUUCCCAUCUUCUCUUGCUAUGAAAAAAUCUGAGCUGCCUUUCUCGUUGCAGCUAUUGUGAGUGCCUUGUAAUGGAAGCUGCUGGAGGUGCGGGCUGUUAUAUCCCUUUUGAAAGCUUCUCUGCAGAAACGUGAAGUGCUGGCUUUGCUUAGUUCCCUGUACAUUUGGUGCUCUGGCAAGGGCUGCCCACGUGGCUCUGCAGGCUGUGAGCAAGGCCCCGAGCAGCUGAGAACUGAGGUUAUCUCCUGCUGCCCAGUGUGGGUUUGUCACUGAGACGCCAGCCGAGAGUUUUUUCUCCCAUCAUCUAUGGGAAAAGGAGAAGAGAGAAGGCAAAGCUCAAAGCUGUGGCCAUGCACGGAGUCGUGGUGGUGCUCCGUGUGUUUGGCCCUCAGGUCCACUCCUGUGGAUUCAGGAGAAACCUUUCAACCUUUGUGUCCUGCCUGAAACGAGCCACCUGAACAAUGCUUUGGCAAAAUAAAGGGAUUAUUAAGGA